rnacentral:rRNA from 1 species
CGUCGUGGGUGGCCAAACUGUAACCUUUGUCCCCUAUGCAAGCAGGUUCAAGAGUCGGCGGUCCACCUUCUAUUCCAAUGCAGAUACACUAUAAGAGUUUGGCGCAUGAUCAAAGAUUGACUGGAUCUCCAUGAUGUGCAUCCUUCUGAUUGGAGUGACACGACUUUCGUUAAAAAGUGGUGGAGCCAUAAUGCUACCAAGAAGACCCAAUCACGAAGACGACUUGCUUCCUUGAUGCUUCUUAUCUCUUGGAAGUUGUGGAAUGGGAGGAAUGCGCGGAUCUUUCGUAAUACCGCCGGCCCAGUUGGAGUCAUAUCGCUAGGACUGAAGAGGAGACGUUGCUUUGGAUCAUGGCGGGCGCGAGGCACUUGA